ACAUGCAAGUCGAGCGGUAACAGGUGUAGCAAUACAUGCUGACGAGCGGCGAACGGGUGAGUAAUGCUUCGGAAUCUGCCCAAUGGUGGGGAAUAACCAGCCGAAAGGUUGGCUAAUACCGCAUGAGCCCUACGGGGGAAAGCAGGGGAUCGCAAGACCUUGCGCCGAUGGAUGAGCCGAAGCCGGAUUAGCUAGUUGGUAGGGUAACGGCCUACCAAGGCGACGAUCCGUAGCUGGUCUGAGAGGACGACCAGCCACACUGGGACUGAGACACGGCCCAGACUCCUACGGGAGGCAGCAGUGGGGAAUAUUGGACAAUGGGGGAAACCCUGAUCCAGCGACGCCGCGUGUGUGAAGAAGGCCUGCGGGUUGUAAAGCACUUUUAGUGGGGAUGAAAAGCUCAGGGCUAACACCUCUGGGUCUUGACCUAACCCACAGAAAAAGCACCGGCUAACUCUGUGCCAGCAGCCGCGGUAAUACAGAGGGUGCGAGCGUUAAUCGGAAUUACUGGGCGUAAAGCGUGCGUAGACGGUUACGUAAGUCGGGUGUGAAAGCCCCGGGCUC
rnacentral:rRNA from 1 species